GACCUCUCCUCCUGUCAGCCGCCAAGCCAUGUCUCCCAUCACGCCUCGCUCACCACAGCACUAUGGACACCCGUGCUGGCUGCAGGCUCUGAGAGUGGCAGGAGCUCACCCUAUUACGGCUCGCUGGAGGGGCGGCCUAGUACUCCAACAACAUACCACGCCCCCAAGCAUUUCCAUGUACCAGCCUCAGGUGAACCCAACAUCUACAGCAAACCUCCCAUCUAUAAGAGAACGGGUACAGUGGCUUAG